UUGGCAGGACUGUGGCGCCCAGAGGUGCAGCUGUGUGGGUCCCCUUCCUUGGGGCAGGGGCUCCACCAGAAGUCCCUCCUGCAGAGUCAGUGAGGAGGGGGUGCUCAGGGGUGCCCUUGGCGGGACCUGAAUCCUCCAUGCUCCGGGAGGUGGCCCCGAGCCUGAGAAACAGGAUUGGAGAGGCCGAGGAACUGAUGACCCAGGUCUCUUUCAGGGGACAGAUCUGACCCUCCCUGGAGGCAGUGGGUGACGCACUCCUGCUCGCAGCUCCUUCGAGGGGCCCCGUGGGCUCCCUUGUAUCCUCCAAGAUCAUUCACGUUGUAGCAGGUGUCAGAAGAGACCACGUUUUACGCACCCACUCGUCCGUCCACGGACCCAAGUUUGCUUCUGCGUUUUGGCUCUCGUGAGCACCGCUGCUAUGAGCGUGUUCCUGAAGCUUGUCUUUGUAAAAUGACUUUGAAGUCGACUUACGAGCCACACGCAAGCCCAGGGCUAUCGAUGGCCCCUACUGCUUGAUCGUCUGUCUGUCUGAUUCAUCAGUGUCUGUACAUAUGUUGGCCUUUUCCAAAAGUCAAAUCCACAAGUUCAAGCAGCCCCUGAAGUGAGAGGUAAAAGCAUCCGCCAUGGGCUCUGCCUCGUAUGGUCAACCCUCGCGGCAGUGUGUUCCCAAAGGCCCGUGACGACCAGCCAUGACGGUGUGGCCCGGCCACACACAGUGGAUGCCCAGUGGCUCUGGAACCUGGUCCCCAGGCUGAAGGCUUGAAAGCGCUCGAGCUGGAGCUCCCUGGGGCCUUCGGCUCUGCGAGCGAAUGGAGCUGCCCUGCUCGUAAGUCCUGGUAAUCGCUCUGGUUCCAGGAGCUACGAAGACGAGUCAGAAACCCCAGCAUUAAAUCUCA